CCGGGAUUGCCUCAGUAACGGCGAGUGAAGCGGCAAGAGCUCAAAUUUGAAAGCUGGCCCCUCCGGGGUCCGCAUUGUAAUUUGCAGAGGAUGCUUCGGGCUCAGCCCCCGUCUAAGUGCCCUGGAACGGGCCGUCGGAGAGGGUGAGAAUCCCGUCUGGGACGGGGUGCCUGGGUCCAUGUGAAGCUCCUUCGACGAGUCGAGUUGUUUGGGAAUGCAGCUCUAAAUGGGUGGUAAAUUUCAUCUAAAGCUAAAUACUGGCCGGAGACCGAUAGCGCACAAGUAGAGUGAUCGAAAGAUGAAAAGCACUUUGAAAAGAGAGUUAAACAGCACGUGAAAUUGUUGAAAGGGAAGCGCUUGCGAUCAGACUCGCCUGCGGGGUUCAGCCGGCAUUCGUGCCGGUGUACUUCCCCGUGGGCGGGCCAGCGUCGGUUCGGGUGGCCGGUCAAAGGCCCCGGGAAUGUGUCGCCCUCCGGGGCGUCUUAUAGCCCGGGGUGCCAUGCGGCCUACCUGGACCGAGGAACGCGCUUCGGCUCGGACGCUGGCGUAAUGGUCGUAAGCGACCCGUCUUGAAACACGGACCAAGGAGUCUAACAUCUACGCGAGUGUUUGGGUGGCAAACCCAUACGCGCAGUGAAAGCGAACGGAGGUGGGAACCCUUCGGGGCGCACCAUCGACCGAUCCUGAUGUCUUCGGAUGGAUUUGAGUAAGAGCGUAGCUGUGGGGACCCGAAAGAUGGUGAACUAUGCCUGAAUAGGGCGAAGCCAGAGGAAACUCUGGUGGAGGCUCGCAGCGGUUCUGACGUGCAAAUCGAUCGUCAAAUUUGGGUAUAGGGGCGAAAGACUAAU
rnacentral:rRNA from 2 species